GAGAUGCUUCAGGAGUUGUAUGUCUCUAUGUUCAGCUCAAAAACUUACGAUGGAAUGCAAUAGGGCUGCUGUAACGAAAAUGUCUAUUAUCAAGUUUGGCCAAUAUCUCCAAAAGAUUAACUGCAUUUAAUCCCUACUAAAAGAUAAUAGGUUAGCUGGUGUAUGUCAAUUGAAAUUUGAUAAUGAUACUAUAUCAUUUGUACGUAUCAGAAUAAAUUGACAUUGGACAAAAGCAAAAAAGUGGUUUUGCAAUAUCUUGUGUUAACAUUCUCAUUCAAGUCAAAAUUUCCAAGUUCAGUUGGAUUACACAAGGAAAAAUACAGCAUAACAAAAUUCAUAAUAAAAGAAAGUUCUUUCUCUACAAAUUUGGCUCAACCAAUCUAUCUGAGCUCCAUUAUAACAUGAUUUACAGCUCUGUCAAGAGAAGUGAGGUUUAGAAACUCAUCCUCCUUGCAUGGAAAUGUAAGACCACCAGCUGGAUGAUCAUAUCCAAACUCUUCUUUUGCUCGACUUACCAAUUCUUGAAAAUAAGGUUGAUCUAAGAAAGAUUCUGGAAUCACAAACGGCCGCAUCUUAUCUCUAACAUAGAUUGCAAGAUGGCCUUUUGGGAUUUCAAGUCCCUUGAAGUUGAUUUGGCUGCAGAAAAUGAUGGCUGUCUAAUAAUACCUGGUAUGAGGAAACCAUUGUAUUUUUUACUCUACAAACAAAUAAUAUUCCGAGUAUUGUCGAAAGGCUUGUAUGAGAAAGAAAUAUUUUAAUUGUGAUGCUUGAGGAUGUAAAUGAAUUGUGUUGCUUGAGCACAAAAAACAGUGUAUAUGUAGUCGCUCAUGGAUCCUCUGCAUCUGCAAUCCAAUUCCUCCAUUAGUGAUUUUUUACAGCGCUAUGAACAGUUCUAUUGAGGGACAAGGGAUCAAAUGGUGUUGUCAUCGAGAUUUAUUCCAAGGAUUAGGAAGAUAAAUGGGAGUGUAUACCAUACCCCACCUUCUGAGAUAAUGGCCAACAUAUUUACCCACUUGAACUUAAAUACAUCAACAAUGGUGAAAUGUAAUGCUUGUUCAUUCAUUGAGCUGUAGCUAUUUCAUUGCUAGACAUGCUUUAGACAUCACCCAUGUUUCUUUGAAGAAGAUAUAUAAAAUAUAUAAGUGGCAAGAAACAAGCUGUAAACCUUGAGACUUGACCAUAGCUGAUUGCAGCUUUGAAACAGCGUUUGGAGAUAAGAAGAGAACCAACAUUGAAUACUUGAUCACGAGGCACUAUGGACCACAUUUUUUAUGUACAUCAAAUUCUAGGCAAACAUCGUGUGUAAUUUGCAUAAAUAAAGUUUGUGGCUACUACUGUGUCAACAUGAUCAGUUAGUUUUCCUUUUUCACAUAUGCACGUUUUAUUUUAAGUGGGGUAAUCUGUUCCAGAAGGUGGGACUUGGUUAUGUUAUCUACUGCAACAUGUUGCGUUGAAUCAGUAGAAAGUCCUCUAAGACAACACCAUAUGCUUUGCCUCUCAUUUGGUCCCAUAACUCCAACUCAUAGCCCUCUUUCACCAAUAAUCCAAGUAGCCUAUGGUUUCUUGCAUAUCCUUUGAUCUAUGUAUAUAUAUUUGUUGCUAAGAGAACUUAGGACCAACACAAAUCAUUCACACCCUGAAGCAUUCAAAGUUCAUUUUAAAAGUCUUUUCUUAGACCAUUCUCUUCUCCAGUCUCUAACACAAUCAAUAUAGCAAUGGGUUUUCGUUUACCUCUCAUGAGAAGGACAUUAUUUGCUGGAAAUCACACAUCUUCAAAAGCGGUGGAUGUACCAAAGGGCUAUUUUGCAGUCUAUGUUGGAGAGAAAAUGAAGCGGUUUGUGAUUCCUCUAUCAUACUUGAACCAACCUUCUUUCCGAGAAUUGUUGAGUCAAGCUGAAGAGGAGUUUGGAUAUAAUCAUCCCAUGGGUGGCCUUACAAUUCCUUGCAGCGAAGAUGCUUUCCAGCAUAUAACUUCAUGCUUGAAUGGGAUAUAAAUCCCACACUUUAGAAGACUGACAUAGAUUAGGAGAGACAUUUUGUACAGUAGAAUUAACUAUCUGAAUGACAAAUUAAGAGUAUGCUCUGUCUCUUUUCUUGCAUUAUAUCAAUGAAUUGCAUUUUUCAAAUGGCUUCUUCGUGUUUUCUGUCCAUUAGUUAAAAUGUUAAUUUGUCCCUUGAAUAAAAAAUUACAAAUCAUGUGUAAGGCUGCUUGAUCUAGGAAAACACUACAGUUGGCUGAACUAAUAAAUUUCAAAGCUGGAACAGAACAUGCGAUUACUUGUCAGGGAAGUGCAAGAGUAUAUUUCUUAGGAGUUAGGAAGAUAUAGAAAGAUGAUAUACUCAGGGAGAAGUUAAAUUAAUUUUUUAUAGACCAAAAAUAUGUAUCUUUUUUUUUUCUUUCAAGAUUAUACAUAUGAAAUCAAGAUUUUUGAGGAGCAUUGACCCAGAUCAUACAUGAAGUGCCUUCUCUGCCUAGGUAGGUCCACAAGAACAAUGACAUUGGGGUGGUUUUUACAACAACAAAGGCUAAUCCCAGUAGGUGAGAUAAGUUAUAUGAAUCACACAACGCUAUUUAGCUACUUGUGUUAAAGGUCAACUAUAUUUCCACUGCAAUUUUAAAUUUCUCAUGCUAAAUAGUGCAAUAACAUCCAAGUGGAAAUGAAAAAAAAAAUCUCUAGGUGAUUUGAGAAACCAAAAUAUCUAUAUUUACUAGCCUAUAGGAUAUUUGACCAAUCUCUUUAAAGAUUUCCUUGUAUCCAAGUAAGCUCACAAACUUUGGAUUGGUUCUAUCAACUGGAUAAUCAUCUAGUCAGAGUAACUGAGCAAAUCAAUAGAAAUCCAAUUUUAAUUUUGGUAUCUUUUAGUUACAAGUAACAGUCUACACAACAUUUCAAGUCCUGUGUUGUAGGGACUAUACAAUGGAUGCUCCUUUGCACUAUUUUUAUUACGUGGAGGGUGAAACAGAUACACAUAUCCCCACUACAGUAGACAUUUAUUUUACUGCUUUAGUCAUCAGAAAGUGGUAGUUUAUUAACUUGAAGAACCGAAGUAUAUGUUUUGAGACUGUCUGGAUCAUAAGAAGAAGGCCAUUAUAUUGGUUAUGCAAUUAUUUGCUUAUUGGCUGUAAAGUUUCUUUCUGAAGUGCAACCAGGUUGGCAUGGAUUCUCAAUUCUCAAAUAAUCCCUCACCAAAAUCAUGUAGGCAAUAUCAUGUGACACCUCAUUAGCCCUUGUCUCUCACUAGACCCCAUCAAGCAUCAAAUUCCCCACCAACCAUCGAGUUCAUCAGAGAACCGAUUUCACAGACUCGUAUAUCUAUCUAUAUAUACUCACAAUGACAUUCUCAAGCAAUGCAAGUCAGUCACAAAGUAUUCAAACAUUUCUUUCACACACAAGCUCUUGCAUUCUUUGGUAUUGUUCUCUGUGCAAUUCAUCUAAAAAAACAUGGGCUUCCGCUUACCCGGUAUUAGAAGAUCAUCUUUUUCAGUGACCAAAGCAGCUUCCAAGGCUGUGGAGGUCCCCAAAGGCUAUCUAGCAGUCUAUGUCGGAGAGAAAAUGAAGCGGUUUGUGAUUCCUAUUUCAUACUUGAAUCAACCUUUAUUUCAAGAAUUAUUGAGCCAAGCUGAGGAAGAAUUCGGGUAUGACCAUCCAAUGGGUGGUAUCACAAUACCUUGCAGGGAAGAUGCUUUCUUAGACAUCACUUCUCGUUUGAAUAGGCUAUAAAUCAUAUUGGAGGAGACUGACAUAGAAUAGUUGAGGCAAAGUGUACAGAAGACAAUUUUAUUCAUUUAUUAUCCUUCUUUUGUAAGUGGAAAAAACCAUCUAAGUGGGGUAAUUAUUAACAGAAAUGUUAUAUUUCUAUUUUGGUCAAGUUUCAAUGAAUUUUACCUAUACACUUUCUCUGCCAAAUUUUAUUUAUAUUAACAGCCACUGUUAUGUACAUUCUCUUAAACGCACUUUUCUUCUCCCUAUGCUGUUCUGCUGCUACUGUUGUACAGCUAAAGCAAAUGUAAGUUUAUCCUAACAGACCUGUCGUACAAUAGUGCAUGAUCCAUGCCCUUGAGCUUUUUCUUACAAUAAAUUUGUGAUAAUGUUGUCCUUUUAGAGGAGGGAGUUGUAGUGAGAUGAAUCGGAGUUAAAAACUUGAAAAAUAAAUUUGACAGUGUAAAAUAUGC
rnacentral:lncRNA from 1 species